rnacentral:miRNA from 3 species
UUCAGUCAUUGUUUCUGGUAGU